rnacentral:lncRNA from 1 species
CGGUCUCAAAGGCACUAUUGAGAGUCCAAGAUACUGGUGAUCAAUGUAUUCAUAAAUACGAGGCUGAUGGAGUUGAGAUGAGAGUGGUUUUGACCUCUGCUAUCUUCAUUCAUCCAGAGACAGCCUGUAUAUACUCUUUUGAACCUCUUCAGACUGUGGUAAUAAUUCCCAGAUUGCUUCCCAAAGAGACUGUAUAUACUCCUUUGAACCUCUUCAGACUGUGGUAAUAAUUCCCAGAUUGCUUCCCAAAGAGACUAAGAAGAAUCAGGAGACAGAUAGCCGUAGAUUGAAAAAUAGUGUAACUUCAAAGGAAGUGAAAGUAGGGGGUACACCUGACAAGCAUGAUAUCCAUC